rnacentral:rRNA from 1 species
GCGUGAUAAUUCGCCCUUUAAUUGUGGGCUUGCAUGAAAGGACAAACGAGAGUCAAGCUGUCUCCUAGAUAGAAACGGAAAUUGUUAUUCAGGUGAAGAAACCUGAAUUUAAACAAAGGACAAAAAGACCCCAUAGAGCUUCGUUAAACCCCCUAUUAACUGAAAAAUAGCCUUAUAUUUUCAGCUAACAAGGUAAUAACUUAACUGGGGCGGUUAAGGAGAAAUCAAAACCUCCGUCUAAAGCUCUCUAUGCACACCAAGGCCAUAACCAGCCACUUACUAAAUAAUAAUUGACCCUUACUUCAAGAUCAAAGGAUAAGCUACCUUGGGGAUAACAGAUUCAUCCCCCUUAAGAGUCCGCAUUGACAGGGGGGC